rnacentral:rRNA from 1 species
GACGAACGCUGGCGGCGUGCCUAAUACAUGCAAGUCGAACGCUUCUUUCCUCCCGAGUGCUUGCACUCAAUUGGAAAGAGGAGUGGCGGACGGGUGAGUAACACGUGGGUAACCUACCCAUCAGAGGGGGAUAACACUUGGAAACAGGUGCUAAUACCGCAUAACAGUUUAUGCCGCAUGGCAUAAGAGUGAAAGGCGCUUUCGGGUGUCGCUGAUGGAUGGACCCGCGGUGCAUUAGCUAGUUGGUGAGGUAACGGCUCACCAAGGCCACGAUGCAUAGCCGACCUGAGAGGGUGAUCGGCCACACUGGGACUGAGACACGGCCCAGACUCCUACGGGAGGCAGCAGUAGGGAAUCUUCGGCAAUGGACGAAAGUCUGACCGAGCAACGCCACGUGAGUGAAGAAGGUUUUCGGAUCGUAAAACUCUGUUGUUAGAGAAGAACAAGGACGUUAGUAACUGAACGUCCCCUGACGGUAUCUAACCAGAAAGACACGGCUAACUACGUG